GCGCAGUUACAUUGCUGCAAUGGUCUACAGAGGAUUCAAGAGAAUUUGAUAAUUGGAAGAGAUUGUGAAUAUGGACAAGGUAGUCAGUGUGCAGAAGCCCAGAGAUGCUAGAGCACAUUGUUAAUGAAGACAUAUCUCCUGCAAUAGCAGUAUAUGAAAGCAGUUUGUAUAUAAGAGACAUCAUUGCCCAUUCACUCAGAUAUGCACUUCAGUGGUCAACAUGAAGGGAAACCAAAUGGGUAUCAGAAGAUGUGGAAAAGGAUUUAAACAUAAGAAAUGUUGGAAAAUUUUCACUCAUUCUGAGUUUUUCUGUCGUUUUCACCUUACCUAGUAAUGCAUCCUCUGACAGAACAUGUUUGCCUCAUCCUCAAUGUCUUUGAUAUGAACUGAACUGGUAAACACUGGUGGCCAAGUUUAACCCUGGGAUUUUAGUUUCUUGGAUGAAAUCACUGUGACUGUCUGGAGUAGAAAUAUACAAAUAUAUUCUGUAGCAUUUAUGUUG